GAUGAACGCUGGCGGCGUGCUUAACACAUGCAAGUCGAACGGGAUCGGCUGGAGCUUGCUCCGGCCGUGAGAGUGGCGAACGGGUGAGUAAUGCGUGACCGACCUGCCCCAUACACCGGAAUAGCUCCUGGAAACGGGUGGUAAUGCCGGAUGCUCCGACAUGACGCAUGUCGUGUUGGGAAAGAUUCAUCGGUAUGGGAUGGGGUCGCGUCCUAUCAGGUAGUCGGCGGGGUAACGGCCCACCGAGCCUACGACGGGUAGCCGGCCUGAGAGGGCGACCGGCCACAUUGGGACUGAGGUACGGCCCAGACUCCUACGGGAGGCAGCAGUGGGGAAUAUUGCACAAUGGGCGCAAGCCUGAUGCAGCGACGCCGCGUGCGGGAUGACGGCCUUCGGGUUGUAAACCGCUUUUGACUGGGAGCAAGCCCUUCGGGGUGAGU
rnacentral:rRNA from 1 species